rnacentral:rRNA from 1 species
GAUGAACGCUAGCGGCAGGCUUAACACAUGCAAGUCGAGGGAUAUAGUUCUUCGGAGCUAGAGACCGGCGCACGGGUGUGUAACGCGUAUGCAAUCUACCUUUUGCAGAGGGAUAGCCCAGAGAAAUUUGGAUUAAUACCUCAUGGUAUGUGAGAAUGGCAUCAUUUUCACAUUAAAGUCACAACGGCAAAAGAUGAGCAUGCGUCCCAUUAGCUAGUUGGUAAGGUAACGGCUUACCAAGGCAACGAUGGGUAGGGGUCCUGAGAGGGAGAUCCCCCACACGGGUACAGAGACACGGACCAGACUCCUACGGGAGGCAGCAGUGAGGAAUAUUGGACAAUGGGCGCAAGCCUGAUCCAGCCAUGCCGCGUGCAGGAUGACGGUCCUAUGGAUUGUAAACUGCUUUUGUACAGGAAGAAACACUGGUUCGUGAACCAGCUUGACGGUACUGUAAGAAUAAGGAUCGGCUAACUCCGUGCCAGCCGCCGCCGUAACAC